rnacentral:rRNA from 1 species
UACAAUUGAGACAGGUGGUGCAUGGUUGUCGUCAGCUCGUGUCGUGAGAUGUUGGGUUAAGUCCCGCAACGAGCGCAACCUUGUGUUUAGUUGCAAACAGGUCAAGCUGUGCACUCUAGACAGACUGCCGUGGACAACACGGAGGAAGGUGGGGAUGACGUCAAAUCAUCAUGCCCCUUAUGAUCUGGGCUACACACGUGCUACAAUGGCCGGUACAACGGGCAGCGAAGGAGCGAUCCGGAGCGAAUCCUAAAAAGCCGGUCCCAGUUCGGAUUGCAGGCUGAAACUCGCCUACAUGAAGUUGGAGUUGCUAGUAAUCGCGAAUCAGAAUGUCGCGGUGAAUACGUUCCCGGGCCUU